rnacentral:rRNA from 1 species
UGGGGAAUUUUGGACAAUGGGCGAAAGCCUGAUCCAGCAAUGCCGCGUGUGUGAAGAAGGCCUUCGGGUUGUAAAGUCACUUUUGAUCCGGAAAGAAAUCCUUGGCUCUAAUACAGUCGGGGGAUGACGGUACCGGAAGAAUAAGCACCGGCUAACUACGUGCCAGCAGCCGCGGUAAUACGUAGGGUGCAAGCGUUAAUCGGAAUUACUGGGCGUAAAGCGUGCGCAGGCGGUUUGCUAAGACCGAUGUGAAAUCCCCGGGCUCAACCUGGGAACUGCAUUGGUGACUGGCAGGCUAGAGUAUGGCAGAGGGGGGUAGAAUUCCACGUGUAGCAGUGAAAUGCGUAGAGAUGUGGAGGAAUACCGAUGGCGAAGGCAGCCCCCU